AACCUGGUUGAUCCUGCCAGUAGUCAUAUGCUUGUCUCAAAGAUUAAGCCAUGCAUGUCUAAGUACAUGCCGAAAUAAGGCGAAACCGCGAAUGGCUCAUUAAAUCAGUUAUGGUUCCUUAGAUCGUUUCUUCCUACUUGGAUAACUGUGGCAAUUCUAGAGCUAAUACAUGCAGUGAGCCUGGAGCCCUUUGGGUAACGGGUGCUUUUAUUAGACCAAGAUCGAUCGGGUUUCGGCCCGUAUUGUGUGGUGACUCUGGAUAACUUUGUGCUGAUCGCAUGGCCACGAGCCGGCGACGUUUCUUUCAAGUGUCUGCCUUAUCAACUUUCGAUGGUAGGUUACUUGCUUACCAUGGUUGUUACGGGUAACGGAGAAUCAGGGUUCGAUUCCGGAGAGGGAGCCUGAGAAACGGCUACCACAUCCAAGGAAGGCAGCAGGCGCGCAAAUUACCCACUCCCGGCACGGGGAGGUAGUGACGAAAAAUAACAAUACGGGACUCUUUUGAGGCCCCGUAAUUGAAAUGAGUACACUCUAAAUCCUUUAACGAGGAUCAAUUGGAGGGCAAGUCUGGUGCCAGCAGCCGCGGUAAUUCCAGCUCCAAUAGCGUAUACUAAAGCUGCUGCGGUUAAAAAGCUCGUAAUUGGAUCUCAGUUCCAGACGAGUAGUGCAUCUACCCGAUGCGACGGCUCGGACUGAACAUCAUGCCGGUUCUUUCUUGGUGCACUUCAUUGUGUGCCUCGAGAUGGCCGGUGCUUUUACUUUGAAAAAAUUAGAGUGCUCAACGCAGGCGAGUCGCCUGAAUAAACUUGCAUGGAAUAAUAGAACAAGACCUCGUUUCUGUUCUGUUGGUUUUUGGAAUACGAGGUAAUGAUUAAGAGGGACGGACGGGGGCAUUCGUAUUGCGGCGCUAGAGGUGAAAUUCUUGGACCGUCGCAAGACGAACUACUGCGAAAGCAUUUGCCAAGAAUGUUUUCAUUGAUCAAGAACGAAAGUCAGAGGUUCGAAGGCGAUCAGAUACCGCCCUAGUUCUGACCAUAAACGAUGCCAACCAGCGAUCCGCCUGAGUUACUCAAAUCACUCGGCGGGCAGCUUCCGGGAAACCAAAGUAUUUGGGUUCCGGGGGGAGUAUGGUUGCAAAGCUGAAACUUAAAGGAAUUGACGGAAGGGCACCACCAGGAGUGGAGCCUGCGGCUUAAUUUGACUCAACACGGGAAAACUUACCCGGCCCGGACACUGGGAGGAUUGACAGAUUGAGAGCUCUUUCUUGAUUCGGUGGAUGGUGGUGCAUGGCCGUUCUUAGUUGGUGGAGCGAUUUGUCUGGUUAAUUCCGAUAACGAACGAGACUCUAGCCUAUUAAAUAGGUGCGGGGUUCCCAGCACCUUACAACCUUCUUAGAGGGACAAGCGGCUCCUAGCCGCACGAAACAGAGCAAUAACAGGUCUGUGAUGCCCUUAGAUGUCCGGGGCCGCACGCGCGCUACACUGAAGGAAGCAGCGUGUCUUUAUCCCUGUCUGAAAAGACUGGGUAACCCGUGGAACUUCUUUCGUGAUUGGGAUAGGGGCUUGCAAUUGUUCCCCUUGAACGAGGAAUUCCCAGUAAGCGCGAGUCAUAAGCUCGCGUUGAUUACGUCCCUGCCCUUUGUACACACCGCCCGUCGCUACUACCGAUUGAAUGAUUUAGUGAGGUCUUCGGACCGAUGUCCGGCGCGGCCUUUCGGUUGCGCCGGUCUGUUGGAAAGAUGACCAAACUUGAUCAUUUAGAGGAAGUAAAAGUCGUAACAAGGUUUCCGUAGGUGAAC
rnacentral:rRNA from 1 species